rnacentral:tRNA from 1 species
GUAGACGUGGUCCAACAAAGACGUCAGAUUGUGAUUCUGGAAAUAGGGACUAGUUACCCCUCGUCUACC